CAAAAGUGGUACGACACCAGAACCCCAGACACCAGUUUAACCACUGUUGAUCUGCAAUGUGCAUUCACUGUCUUCCACAUCCCUUCUCUUCCUCACUUGUUUCUUCAGUGCGCUCCAGAAGCUAUAAUGUUAUAUCCGCUCCUUGCAAUAUGUUCUAUGUGUUCUGUCUAAACUGAUCAGGAAUGCAGCACAGAUUCACCUGCUUAGUUGCUGUGGGAAGCUCCUAUUCCUCUACAUUUAUAUGUUUGAAGUCACACAUAUCUCUUGCACAAAUUAAGGCUUCACUUUGUAAAUAGAUGCUUUACUCGGCUCUUGCUAAGUGAAACAACUUACUUGCAAUUUCUGUUUUUGGGAAUAAGUAUUUACGAAUUCAUAUAUAGUAUCACACGUAGAUCAGUUCAAUUUGAGGUGGAAGUGCUUCUAUGCUUUAAAUUUACUAAUAUUUUGCAUGGCUCUCAGAGAUUGAAGACAUCAAAACGUGAUGAGCACCAUGUUUUUCUCCCUUUAUCUAGGGCAAGCUUGUAAUGAGGAUGACCUCAUUGAAAAGCAUUGGCUCAUAUUUCUUUUAUAUGGCAAGUGGUUUGUAGAAAGUACAAUUUUUAUGUUAUAUUGCAUUAAUGAAAUGCUUUAGUCCCUUUCCUUCAA